rnacentral:rRNA from 2 species
UUGACCUCGGAUCAGGUAGGGAUACCCGCUGAACUUAAGCAUAUCAAUAAGCGGAGGAAAAGAAACCAACCGGGAUUGCCUCAGUAACGGCGAGUGAAGCGGCAAGAGCUCAAAUUUGAAAGCUGGCUCCUUCGGAGUCCGCAUUGUAAUUUGCAGAGGAUGCUUUGGGUGCGGCCCCCGUCUAAGUGCCCUGGAACGGGCCGUCAGAGAGGGUGAGAAUCCCGUCUUGGGCGGGGUGUCCGUGCCCGUGUAAAGCUCCUUCGACGAGUCGAGUUGUUUGGGAAUGCAGCUCUAAAUGGGUGGUAAAUUUCAUCUAAAGCUAAAUACUGGCCGGAGACCGAUAGCGCACAAGUAGAGUGAUCGAAAGAUGAAAAGCACUUUGAAAAGAGAGUUAAACAGCACGUGAAAUUGUUGAAAGGGAAGCGCUUGCGACCAGACUCGCCCGCGGGGUUCAGCCGGCAUUCGUGCCGGUGUACUUCCCCGUGGGCGGGCCAGCGUCGGUUUGGGCGGCCGGUCAAAGGCCCCUGGAAUGUAGUGCCCUCCGGGGCACCUUAUAGCCAGGGGUGCAAUGCGGCCAGCCUGGACCGAGGAACGCGCUUCGGCACGGACGCUGGCAUAAUG